UUUAUGGGAUACACCAAGUUCAGUUUUGUCAGAUGUCCAAGCAUCACUGGGCUUUGUUUAUCUCAUAAG
rfam:Drosophila virilis strain TSC#15010-1051.87 Ctg01_17149, whole genome shotgun sequence.